UCACUGAAAACAAGGAACAUUUUGUGAAAUACAGAAAAGAAAAACAAGUAGGCGCCUACAACCGACCCGACAAGUUUUCUGACUAGUCACAAAACUGUUUUCUUGGGAACAUAACUCCUCCGUUUGUAAAAUUAACAAGAUCAGAAAACUAUUCAGCAAGUGAAAAAAAUUUGCAGAAAUGGCAGCAGCGACAGCACAGAAAAUUAACGAACGUUUUCAGACGUUUGUGAAUGGACUCAACGAUCGCUAUGAGCCGCAUGUGCGCCAACACCUGGCCAAAGUGUACAUGGUCUUGGGAAGCACUGCAGCCGCGACAACUGUUGGAGCCCUCUGCCAGAUGCGCGACGUUCUAGAUCUCGGCGUGCUGGCUGCCUUGGCCACGCUGGUGCUGGUAUUGGGGCUGCAUUUCUACAAGGAUGAUGGCAAGAACUAUCGCACACGUUUGACUAUGCUCUAUGCCUUUGGAUUUUGCUCUGGCCAGACAUUGGGACCGCUGCUGGGCUACGUCAGCCACAUCAAUCCGGCCAUUAUUGUCACAGCCCUCACUGGCACCUUUGUCACGUUUCUAUCCCUCUCGCUGGCCGCUCUACUGGCCGAGCAGGGCAAGUAUUUGUAUCUGGGCGGAAUGUUAGUCAGCGUUGUCAACACCAUGGCCAUUUUGAGCCUCUUCAACAUGAUAUUCAAGUCGUACGUGGUGCAAGUGACUCAACUCUAUGUGGGUGUAUUCGUAAUGGCAGCUUUUAUAGUCUACGACACACAAAACAUUGUACAGAAGUGCCGCAAUGGUAACCGCGAUGUCGUACAGCAUGCCCUGGAUCUCUUCUUUGACGUAUUGAGCAUGUUCCGCCGUUUGCUCGUAAUCCUGACCCAGAAGCUCAAGACCUUUAUGGUUUAGUCCCAAGCAGAUCCAAUCAAAUGGUCGCCGAACACUUUGCAAUAGUUUUCCACAAGUCAAAAAAAAUCUCUUAAGAUUAACAAAAGUCAAACGGAGGAGCGAAAGCAAAACGAGCGCCGCAAAAGGAACUAAGGUCCGGCGGUAGCAGCAAAUACAAAACAAAUAAACAAACAAUAGAUACAUCUACAUCUACGUAUAUACACUAUAAAACUGAUUAUGUUAGAAAAUCUCCCAUUUUUUCAAAGAACUUACGGCCGUGCAUAUUUCGGCUUUUAAAUUACAUAACAUUCGAACGUUCAUUGUGAAAAAGCCCUGGCAAAAAAAUUCUCUAUUUAAAUAAACCAGCAAGUUAAAGACAAAA